CGCGCAGAACCUUACCCGGUCUUGACAUCCCAAGAAGCUGGCGUUACUGCCGGUGUGCCCUUCGGGGAACUUGGUGACAGGUGUUGCAUGGCUGUCG
rnacentral:rRNA from 1 species